GUAGGGUGCAAGCGUUAAUCGGAAUUACUGGGCGUAAAGCGUGCGCAGGCGGUUUUGUAAGUCUGACGUGAAAUCCCCGGGCUUAACCUGGGAAUUGCGUUGGAGACUGCAAGGCUGGAGUCUGGCAGAGGGGGGGUAGAAUUCCACGUGUAGCAGUGAAAUGCGUAGAGAUGUGGAGGAACACCGAUGGCGAAGGCAGCCCCCUGGGUCAAGACUGACGCUCAUGCACGAAAGCGUGGGGAGCAAACAGGAUUAGAUACCCUGGUAGUCCACGCCCUAAACGAUGUCUACUAGUUGUCGGGUCUUAAUUGACUUGGUAACGCAGCUAACGUGUGAAGUAGACCGCCUGGGGAGUACGGUCGCAAGAUUAA
rnacentral:rRNA from 1 species